rnacentral:lncRNA from 1 species
CCAUACUCAAGUGUGGAAAAAUAUGCACACAAAAAUGGGUUCAUAAGUAUCAUCUUGGAAACUUUCCCAUGGGGCAGGGGUAAGAUAGCUUUCAAUGCUAUCACUAUACUAAGACCAUGAGAAAACUAUAUAACAAAAUGAAAAUAAGAAUACAAAUUAAAUAUACUGCAUAAACAUUUCAGGAUUCUGAUAUUUCCAAUUACCAAAACAAGUUUCUCCAAAGAAACAUCACCUAUUAUGUAGAGUAUCACCUCUUCUACCACUGUUCUUUAGUUGUUGGAAAACCUGACGGAAGUAGGGAAGGUGCUUGUUCUACUCAUAUACCUUCCUUAGAACCCACCCUGUAACCUGUGAGCUUUUAGUAAAGUUUCAUAACACUUUAUUCCAUUUAAUAGUUUAUAUCUCAGUUGUCGAAUUGGAAUGCAAGUACCUUGAGGGAUUUAUUUGCAUUCAUUUUCCUAUCAUACGUAGUAUACAGCAGGUAUUCAGAUUUGUAUUAAAUGAACAAAAGAAGAAAGAUAACCCUAACUAGUAGGUAAGGAAGCUAAUCUUAAUUUAUUAGAUGUAACAUUAGUAGGAUGAAAGA